GCCCGAGAUCAUCAUGCCAGUAAGCUAGCCGGGACUGAACCCUGAGUCCACCUGACACACCUGUAUCCCCCUCAGACGAAAAACCGUGAGAAGCUUGGUCCUUAGUUUGUGAUGGAGGAGCAGGUGAGGUCUCGGGAGGGCGUUCAGCAUCUCAGCUCUGCCCUUCGUGCACGGUUGCUGCGUCCCACCCUUCAUGCGGUAACUGCAGCCACCUGCCAGGGCUCCGCUGACAGACCAGGCUGUGUUUCUCCAGCAAGGGCUCUUUGUACCCUGCCCCCCAAGAAUAAUUCCAGGGGGGUGGCCAUCCUAGAUCAGUUCUGAAUGAUCCAGGGGCUGUGGCUACCAGUAUACCCAGGUCACAGUGUCUUUGGGAGGUACUUGUAAAAUGACUCGACCCUGCGUCUCCUAGUAGAGGACAGGAAACCAGUGCCCGUAGGCAGAUCAGGUGUCCGCGCUGAGUUCCAGACUAAACCAUCCAGCACGGAGUUCCAGAGCUGCAGGUGGUCUGAUGACCAGGGCUGCUCUGAGAACCCACCCAGCUCCAGCCGUCUUGGCUGCACAGCACGGAUGGUUGCCUCUUCCCAGCUUGGCUUUGUGCCUGGGGUCAGGCCCCAGCUGACUACACCCAGCUGGUUCUUACCAUACUCAUCCUCUUCUCAUUUGCAUUUUCUUUCUUCCUAUUCAAUACUAAAAAAAAGAAGUUGGAGCGCCUGCUUUGUGAGAGGUAAGGAAGUGGCCAGGUAGACGCUACACACUAUGACUAUGUUAAGCUUUUCUGUGUGAAUUUUCUCACGCAGUUCUUGUGGCAGCUCUGCGAAGUGGGCAGUGCAUUUUACAAAGAACGGUUGAGGAAAGUUAAGUGAUGUCGCCAGAGACACCUACUCGACAAGGUUCCUAGUUCUUCCAGAAUCAAUGCAUUUUCAUGUUUCAUUAAGGCUUUUAUUGAGCACCCACUACAGAUUGAGCCCUUUCAUCUUCUUGCGUGUCCCUCCUCUGAUCCAGGAAGGUAGACCUAUUCCAGUUUUAUGGAUGAGAAGACAGGCCCAGAGGUAACUAACUUAAAAAUAGUCUAGAAACUAACAGAGCUGCACAUCUAGGCUUUAGACUCUCUCAUUUCCAGGUACCUCCCUGAGUGGAAUGGGAGAGCAUAUGGUGGGAAUGUUUUGAGACCAGAGAUGUCAUUCCCUACUUCGUUCCUUGCUCAUGGACUGCUCCUUAAGGCCAGUGUGAAAGGCUGUUUGUCAGAUGGAAAGAUGGACAUCACAGUGGUGUGGAGGCAAGAGCAGGUGGUUGGGGCUACGAUCAGGUCCCUCCCAGCCACAGGCCACAUCCUUGAGGGGCCGUCACCCACUGUAGCAUGCUGGUUAGAACUUUCUUAAAGAGGAGGCACUUCCACUCUGGCCCUCCACUCUCCACAUCACAUGCCUCAGGAGUUAAAUCUCAAGCCUUCCCCAGGAGAAAGGGAGACCAUGAAUCCAGGUACGGCAGGGCCCCGAAUCAGGCUGCAUUGUCUGUGAAAUGACAGUUUUGCGUUCAAAACAUCUGUCUCCAGGAUUGCUAAGCCCCCUAAAGGGGAGAUAAUGAGUGGGUAUGAUUAUUUAGAUGCUAAUGAGCUGAGGUUUUUAUUUUAAUUUAUUUAAAUGUUAAUAACUGAUUUAAGCACACCAAUCAGAGACAAUUUUAUCAGAGAUUCUUCAUCCCAGCGGAGUGAGUCUCAAGGUUAGGGAAUGCAUCAAGGAUCACCUGGAGGGCUUGUGAAGACAGGUUGCUGGCCCUCCACCAUGGAGUUUCUGAUUGGGUAGACCUAAGAUGGGCCCUGAGAACCUCCUGAAAUGAAGUCCCAGAUGAUACUGGGGCUACUGGCCUAGGGACCACACUUGAAGAACCACUGUCCAGGUCCACGCACAGUGUGGCUCCCAGAUGGUCAACAUGGUUUUAUCCACUGGGAGUUGUUAGCAGUGCAGAAUCUUGAGCCCCACCCAGACUCACAGAACCAGAAUCUACUGUUUAACAAGAUCCCCAGGGGCUUCCUAGACACAGUAAAUUUGGGGACACCUGCCUUCUUGGCAAUGCUUCCCAUACUUGCCAGCCAGAGGAAUCUCUUGGAGUGGUGAAGAUUCAGAGUCUGGGGGCUGCUCCUCUGCUGACUUGGAUUCAGAAGAUGUGGGAGGGUCUCAGGGAUCUGAGUCUAGCAAGCCCCCUCAGGUGAUGGUGACGAUCAGGAAAGCCUGGCUACCCAUUGGGUCUGUGUUCCUCAGAGCAGACCCAAACCCCAGAGCCAGAAGAGAAGCCUCUCCCUCCGGGAUCGUGACGUGGCAGCUGCUUCUCCCCCACAAACAGGAACUUGAGGAAGGUGGCUCCUUGAUGGUCUGUGAUGCCGUCAGAGGAAACGGGUGGUUGUGAGAACCACAGAGCCUGCAGAUGUGAGCCAGGAGCCCCAAGAACCCUGCAGCAGAGCUCAGACAUGUGGGUCCUGCCUCUCCGCCUGGCUGUACUUGACAGGGCCACCUAGUCAGAGGUCUCUGAGGAGCACGGGGGUCCUGUCCCAUCCCUGGGGUACAAACCACUACCACGGGCAGAUGCCGAGCUCCCCAAAGCUCCCUGAAGACUCAGGCCAAGAGGUUUCUGGGUGGCCUAGAACUAAGGACAUUGGCAGACUUCUAGAAGACUUUACACCCCACUGAGAUCUCCAACCUCUUCAGCUAAAGCAUGUGUCUUAGCUGGUCCCCCACCCCAAGACUCUGAUGACCGGAAACCAAUUUCUCUUGGCGAUGUGCUCCUGAAUGUUCUUCUGAAGAACGAUGGGAAGUCAGCCCAGCAGGGGGAAAGCCCUUCCAAGUCCAAGCUUCAGCCCCUGUGUGCAAGGCCAGAAUCCUGAGCCCAUGCAAGCAGAGAGGAGCCGGGCCAAGGCCGUGGCCCUGGGCAGUUUCCCAGUGGGCGAGCAGGCAGAGCUGUCGCUGAGACUGGGCGAGCCGUUGACCAUCAUCUCGGAGGAUGGAGACUGGUGGACGGUGCUGUCGGAUGUCUCAGGCAGAGAGUACAGCAUACCCAGCAUCCACGUGGCCAGAAUCGCCCAUGGGUGGCUGUAUGAGGGCCUGAGCCGGGAGAAAGCUGAGGAACUGCUGCUGCUGCCUGGGAACCACGGAGGGGCCUUCCUCAUCCGGGAGAGCCAGACCAGGAGAGAUGGGGGAACAGAAGCCCACAGAGGGAUGGAGACCUGUCACACUGCACAUCCAAGUGGGGCCUCUCCCACCCCAGGUUCAGGGCCUUUGCAAACAAAACACAAAGUGAAGUCUGUCUCUGAUGCCCUUGCUUACUCUCUGAACUGCAGCCGGGCGUCCCUUACAGCAGGGACAGAGAGGAACAGUGUUCACGUUUAUGUUAGGCCCUUUAAUUGCCUUCACACAACCCUGUUGCAGGGGCAGGGGUUGUACUUCCAAUGUUCCCAUUUUACAGAUGAGGAAACUGAGACUUUUAGAGAAGAGAAACGAUUUGCCUAGGGAGACACAGAUACUAAGUGCAGAGCUGGCAUUCAAACCCAGCUGAGGUUCAUCUUACUUCAGACCCCCAAGAGAGGCCCACCUAUCAUGAUAAUGGUGAUUCAUUGCAACCUCAGGGAUGGACUGGGGAGAGGCUCUGUAGGAUGGGCUUUCUGUGCUUCCCCUGAACUCAACUAACUUUGAUGCAUUGUCAGGGGCGUACUCAGUUCUCUACUCAAGUCUCCCUCCUGGGGCUCCUUCCAGCACAUCUUUGCCUCUCCUUUCCUUUCUUCGGGAGCCCCCUCCCCACUCCACCUCUCCCCAGCCCCUUCUGCUGUUUUCCAGAAAGUACCAGCAUCACCCCCUCACACACACCAGUAGGUUGACCAGGGUCGGGGGCUGGCUCAAGUGAGGUAGCUACAAACAGGAAACCAUAGCGGUGCUGCUGGGGGCAGGGGUGCUGCAGACCAGGCCCCAGUGAGCUUGAGAAGCCACAGGAAGUGCUCCAGUGCUCAGCUGCCCCACCCCCGCUCCUUCUCUGGCCUGGUUGAACCCCAAGAGCAUAGUGACCGGAACUUACUGCCACUCUGCCCCCUUUCUAAGAAGGUAUAUAUACAGGAGGAACCAGUGGAGAAAUAAAGGAGAAAGCAGGCUGUUACUCCCUGUCGGUCCGCCUCAGCCGCCCUGCCUCCUGGGACCGGAUCAAACACUACAGGAUCCAGCGCCUUGACAAUGGUUGGCUGUACAUCUCACCACGCCUCACCUUUCCCUCGCUCCCAGCCCUGGUG